CUACGGGGGGCUGCAGUUAAGAAUCUUGCGCAAUGGGGGAAACCCUGACGCAGCGACGCCGCGUGAACGAUGAAGGCCUUCGGGUUGUAAAGUUCGAUAAGUAGGGAAGAAUAAGCAAUAGGUAAUAUUUAUUGUGAUGACGGUACCUACCUAAAGCCCCGGCUAACUACGUGCCAGCAGCCGCGGUAAUACGUAUGGGGCUAGCGUUGUUCGGAAUUAUUGGGCAUAAAGGGCGUCUAGGCGGGAAAUUAAGUUGGGUGUGAAAGCCAUGGGCUCAACCCGUGAAUUGCAUCCAAAACUGAUUUUCUUGAGUCCGGGAGAGGAGAGCGGAAUUCCAGGUGUAGCGGUGAAAUGCGUAGAUAUCUGGAAGAACACCAGUGGCGAAGGCGGCUCUCUGGCCUAGGACUGACGCUAAAGCGCGAAAGCGUGGGGAGCGAACGGGAUUAGAUACCCUGGUAGUC
rnacentral:rRNA from 1 species